AGAGAGAGAGAGAGAGAGAGAGGAAUGAGGUGUGAUAUUUGUGAAUGAUGUCAUCUGCCCGUUCUGCCCUUCACUCUCAACUACACUUACGGGCAGCCCUCUCUCUCUCUCUCUCUCUUGAUUCCUAAAAAAAAUCUCAUAUCAUCUUCUGUCUCUCUCUCUCACACUACAUCUCUAUAUCCGUGAGUGAGCUUCCUCUUGUUCUCCAUCGUCUCUUCUCUCUCUGCUCGAAGAGCUUACAAGAUGUGUUUGAUCUCUCCUCCUACCUCGUCAGGGCAAUUCUGUGUUGUUUGGACAACCACAGGGAAGAAGG